ensembl:lncRNA ITGA9-AS1 ITGA9 antisense RNA 1
GGCCUCCGCCGCGGGCUCUGCCCGCUCGCCUGCUCGCCUGGUGGGGGAGAGGGGAGCGGGGCCGACACAGGGAAGAGAAGCAUGAGGUUACAUCUGUAAUCUCCCUGCAGCAGAGUCAACUGCAUAAGAAACCAAAAGACACACCUGCUCCAUGCCAGCCUAAGCCACCACAUAAAAAGUCAGACCAUCUGCUGGAAGAACCACAUGGAGAGGCCCUGAGUCAACAUGGAGAGGAAGAAGGACUUGACUGAAUCCAGCCUUCCAGCUGUCCCUACCAAGGUGCCAGGCAUGAGAAUGAAGCUGUCUUGAACUCUGAAGACCAGCUUAGCCACCAGGUCUGUUCUGAAAAAUUGAGAAGAUGAUCUAUCUUCACUUCAAAAAGAAAUCUCUAAGGAGCAAGUGGACACAGCCUGCCUCCCAUAAGCUGUCUGGCUCACUCAUUUUAUUCCUGGAAAUCAGAUUCACUCAAGUCUUGCGGCUCUGGGAAACGUCCUUCUUAAUUGAUCCUUGUCGUAACUACAGCUCUGUUGACAUUUCUAAAGCAAAACAUAGCCUUCCUUCCAAACGCAGUGAAUACACAAAUGAAGCUUUUCAUAUACGUGAAAGCUGAGCCCCGCGGCGGAAUACUGAAGCCGCCUUGUGAUUUGAAAUGGACAUCUGCGUUUCUCCACCACUUCCUCACUGCCGACUGCCGCAGGAAGCGCCCAGCCUGUCUCCCAGGCAGUUUCACUCAAGGCUGGGCUCUCCCUGAUGCAAGGGCCACAGGUAAUCCAGGUGAGGAAAUACAAACACAGGCUGGGGGUGCCUGCUCCCCGCCACCUUCUCUUGUCCUCUCAAGGAGGAAGGGAAGGGCCUGCAGAAGCAACUGAGAAACACUGAAGGGUCUCUGAGGAAUGCCGAGUUUCCAUCUGAUAAGCGGAUGGGGAAGACCAACAAAGCAAGAUAAAGAGCUUGCUGUUGUGUUAGAGCCUCGAGUGGGCUUCCAGCCAGGUGAGGCUUUUCUACCUGGCGUUAUACAGGAAGUUCAAGGUAAAGUCACCAGGGGGCUUGGGGCACUGGAUUAAAGACAGGAAGGGGGCGGAAAAGACUUAUUAUUUUCUAAGUAUCGGCAUCCACCCUCAGGGCUCUCUUACCAGGGCAAGCAGCAAGUUCAUUCAUCAUCUUAAUGGCCAGGCCAAGAUGACUAUAAACAUCUAAGGGUUGAAUUUUACUUGAGGCUACUAUUAACUUGACAAGAGACACCAGAGAAAGCAGAACACAAUGAAAAUCAGUCCCUGCGCUGAAUGAAAGCGGCAGUGAAGGAAGGCUGUAAUCUGUCCCAGCACUGAGGGAUGAGGCUCACUUCUGCCUAAGAACCAUUCUGUUGCUCAAUGCUUGGUUUCCCGGCUGUAACACAAUUUGCUUUGUUCUCCUGCCCAGAUGCAGUUUCUGUAUGGAACCUUCUGUCUAAAAACAGGCCAAAGCAC